UACAGAGGGGGCAAGCGUUAUUCGGAAUUAUUGGGCGUAAAGGGCGCGUAGGCGGCUAUUCAAGUGGCGGGUGAAAUCCCUCGGCUUAACCGAGGAACUGCCUGCCAGACUGGAUGGCUUGAAUCCGGGAGAGGGAUGUGGAAUUCCAGGUGUAGCGGUGAAAUGCGUAGAUAUCUGGAGGAACAUCGGUGGCGAAGGCGGCAUCCUGGACCGGUAUUGACGCUGAGGCGCGAAAGCCAGGGGAGCAAACGGG
rnacentral:rRNA from 1 species